rnacentral:lncRNA from 1 species
AAGCAUAUAUGAUGGAGCAAGAUGCUAAAGAUGUCAGAGUUGUUCUUCUUGCGACCACAACCAGCGUCACUCCAUCGAUGAUGCUACCUGCAACUGCUUUUCCCGGCUGCCGUGUAUGUCAAUGCUUAGUCAUAUCGUUUGUAUACAGUCUCACAGGAUCCAGUGCUGGCGUCCAUGCAACCAACAACAAUGGGGAAACGUAACAAUGGGGCGACUCAAGUGACAAAUAGGCAGCAGUGCGGAGCCAGGCCCUGCUCGAC